ACGAAGCUGAUUUCAUAUGCUGAUCACUGAGAAAUUAUGAACAGAAGUUCCAAAUUCUACUUUUCAUAUUAGAUCUGUUCUGCAAGCGUUUUGAACCUUGUUCAUUUGGAGAAUGGAAUUGUGUUAAAAUGUCUCUUGUCAGUUUGAAACCCAUGCUUUUCAAACCUGGAAGUUUUUCUGGAUCCUGGACUCUGUACAGAGAAUAUAGUUGGAUUUUUACCCAUAUUGUUUCUCUUGGAUUUCCAGGAAUUAAAUGCCAAGCUUUUAAUCCAAUUUUCUUGAAUUAAGUGUUAACAACCCCACUAUCCUUUUGAAUGGCCUUAAUAUUCCACUAAUCAAGCUAUCCUUUCUUCUGCAAUUCUACUGUCUUCUAGCUGCUGCUGGUAAUGCAGCUCCUGUUUUACAACCCUGAAGACUAUUUUCAACUUUAGCUAAAAACAUUAACUCAGGUGUGGAAACAUUAACCCAGGUGUGGAAAUAACUUUCAGUGAAGUAUUGGAUUAACUUUCAAGAUGCUCAAGUAGGCUAGAUUUUGUUUUAUGUACAUUUAGUUCUAAUGAUUAGAGGACUAAUGAAACAAUGUAUUUUUUGCCUAGCUUGUUUUUUUUCUUAAAUAUAAUAUA